rnacentral:rRNA from 1 species
UACAGGGGGUGCAAACGUUGCUCGGAAUCAUUGGGCGUAAAGGGCGCGUAGGUGGUUCUGUAUGUCUACCGUGAAAGCGUACGGCUCAACCGUAUUUUGUCGGUGGAAACUGCAGGACUUGAGGCUGGGAGGGGCUGGUGGAAUUCCCUGUGUAGCGGUGAAAUGCGUAGAGAUCGGAAGGAACACCAGUGGCGAAGGCGGCUACCUGGCCUAAUACUGACACUGAGGCACGAAAGCGUGGGGAGCAAACAGG